UCAGAGGGAAACAACCCAGACCGCCAGCUAAGGUCCCCAAAUAUAGCUAAGUGGGAAACGAAGUGGGAAGGCUAAAACAGUCAGGAGGUUGGCUUAGAAGCAGCCACCCUUUAAAGAAAGCGUAAUAGCUCACUGAUCGAGUCGUCCUGCGCGGAAGAUGUAACGGGGCUAAGCUAUAUACCGAAGCUGCGGAUGCGUGCUUAGCACGCAUGGUAGGAGAGCGUUCCGUAAGCCUGCGAAGGUGCCUUGUAAAGGGUGCUGGAGGUAUCGGAAGUGCGAAUGCUGACAUGAGUAGCGAUAAAGGGGGUGAAAGGCCCCCUCGCCGUAAGCCCAAGGUUUCCUACGCAACGUUCAUCGGCGUAGGGUGAGUCGGCCCCUAAGGCGAGGCAGAAAUGCGUAGCUGAUGGGAAGCAGGUCAAUAUUCCUGCACCAUUGUUAGAUGCGAUGGGGGGACGGAUCGCGGAAGGUUGUCCGGGUGUUGGAAGUCCCGGUCGCUGCAUUGGAGAAGGCGCUUAGGCAAAUCCGGGCGCGGAAUUCAAGGGUGUGGCGCGAGCUCCUUAGGGAGCGAAGCAAUUGGAAGUGGUUCCAAGAAAAGCCUCUAAGCUUCAGUCUAAUGAUGACCGUACCGCAAACCGACACAGGUGGGCGAGAUGAGUAUUCUAAGGCGCUUGAGAGAACUCGGGAGAAGGAACUCGGCAAAUUGGUACCGUAACUUCGGGAUAAGGUACGCCCUUGUAGCUUGACUGGCUUGCGCCAGAAGGGUGAAGGGGUUGCAAUAAACUGGUGGCUGCGACUGUUUAAUAAAAACACAGCACUCUGCAAACACGAAAGUGGACGUAUAGGGUGUGACGCCUGCCCGGUGCCGGAAGAUUAAAUGAUGGGGUGCAAGCUCUUGAUUGAAGUCCCGGUAAACGGCGGCCGUAACUAUAACGGUCCUAAGGUAGCGAAAUUCCUUGUCGGGUAAGUUCCGACCUGCACGAAUGGCGUAACGAUGGCCACACUGUCUCCUCCCGAGACUCAGCGAAGUUGAAGUGUUUGUGAUGAUGCAAUCUACCCGCGGCUAGACGGAAAGACCCCAUGAACCUUUACUGUAGCUUUGCAUUGGACUUUGAACCGAUCUGUGUAGGAUAGGUGGGAGGCUAUGAAACCGGAACGCUAGUUUCGGUGGAGCCGUCCUUGAAAUACCACCCUGGUUUGUUUGAGGUUCUAACCUUGGCCCGUGAUCCGGGUCGGGGACAGUGCAUGGUAGGCAGUUUGACUGGGGCGGUCUCCUCCCAAAGCGUAACGGAGGAGUACGAAGGUACGCUAGGUACGGUCGGAAAUCGUGCUGAUAGUGCAAUGGCAUAAGCGUGCUUAACUGCGAGACCGACAAGUCGAGCAGGUGCGAAAGCAGGUCAUAGUGAUCCGGUGGUUCUGUAUGGAAGGGCCAUCGCUCAACGGAUAAAAGGUACUCUGGGGAUAACAGGCUGAUACCGCCCAAGAGUUCAUAUCGACGGCGGUGUUUGGCACCUCGAUGUCGGCUCAUCUCAUCCUGGGGCUGUAGCCGGUCCCAAGGGUAUGGCUGUUCGCCAUUUAAAGAGGUACGUGAGCUGGGUUUAAAACGUCGUGAGACAGUUUGGUCCCUAUCUGCCGUGGGCGUUGGAUAUUUGAAGGGGGCUGCUCCUAGUACGAGAGGACCGGAGUGGACGAACCUCUGGUGUACCGGUUGUCACGCCAGUGGCAUCGCCGGGUAGCUAUGUUCGGAAGAGAUAACCGCUGAAAGCAUCUAAGCGGGAAACUCGCCUUAAGAUGAGAUAUCCCUGGGGACUAGAUCCCCUUGAAGGGUCGUUCGAGACCAGGACGUUGAUAGGUCAGGUGUGUAAGCGCAGUAAUGCGUUCAGCUAACUGAUACUAAUUGCCCGUAAGGCUUGAUCCU
rnacentral:rRNA from 1 species